AUUGCACGCUGGCGGCAGGCUUAACACAUGCACGUCGAACGAGUGGCGGACGGGUGAGUACUGCUUGGGAAUCUAGCUUAUGGAGGGGGAUAACUACGGGAAACUGUAGCUAAUACCGCGUACCCUAGGAUGAGCCCCAGUGGGAUUAGGUAGUUGGUGAGGUAAAGGCUCACCACGCGGACGAUCUCUAGCUGGUCUGAGAGGAUGACCAGCCACACUGGGACUGAGACACGGCCCAGACUCCGACGGGAGGCAGCAGUGGGGAAUAUUGAGCAAUGGGGGCAACCUGACGCAGCCAUGCCGCGUGAAUGAAGAAGGCCUUCGGGUUGUAAAGUUCUUUCGGUAGCGAGGCGUUAACUACAGAAGAAGCACCGGCUAACUCCGUGCCAGCAGCCGCGGUAAUAC
rnacentral:rRNA from 1 species